rnacentral:tRNA from 1 species
AUUUAUAUAGUUUAAAAAAACAUUACAUUUUCAUUGUAAAAAUAAAAUUAUUUUAAUAUUUUUAUAAAUA